GGAACUGCUUGAGGUCAGACACCAGCUUCAUCAGGGACUCGCCGGCUCGGACCUGCGUGGAUGCGGACGGGGCAGCACAGUGAGGGACUGACGGCAGCCUGCCUCCGUGUGCCUGACGCUGGGAGCAGCACAUCUGCCAGUUGGGGGGGAUUCCUUUAGGACCUCGUCCUGUGCAUUUUCAUCCGGGGGCACAGACCUAUGGAAAUACUUGGUUGCCCUGCUUGUUCUGUGACAUCGAAAGGGAUCAAAAUGCACGUCCCGUUUCAUCUGACCAUUUGCUUCCCGCACUUAUAAAGAAUCUUCAGCGAGGAAGAGGUGAUCUCUUUCUAAGCACCGCCCAGCACUCGACAGGAUGGCCAUGGCCAGCUACCUGCCAGCCCCUUACGCGGCUGCCAUGGACAGCCCUCCUCUCGAGCGGAGUCUCCUGAGAAGUGGUUUGCCCCCCACCCAGGGAACCCCAGUGGGGACCACAAGGUUCCUGGAGCCCGGGCUGUCCCCUCCACCUGGUGACUCACGAUGUUGGCGGCUCGCACGUGCAUCUCGUAAUUGUCCUGCUCGCCCUGAGUGGCCCUCGACACCUGCGUCUCGUCCUCAAUCUGGAGGGCAAACGAGAAAGCCGAGAAUGGGCAGGCGCCCCGGCACUCAGGCACCCCGCGGUGGCAGCAUGCCCACACUCGCCACACCCUGUGGCCUAUCGUGCCCUCUGCGCACCGGGCGCUGCCAACCAGACCUCAGGCCGCGUGCACCGUCACCCCCUCUAGCUCUGUUCUAAGGAGAUGACAGGCACCUUCACCAGGACCAGUGGAUGCCUAAGUACACCAGCCGCCGUGCCAGGCGCGGGGAGGGGUUGGUCCUGUCUUUUUUGGGGUAUGCUGUCCUGUUCAGCACAGACUGCGUCCCUAGCUCAGGCACUCACUGACCUGCUAAAUGGAUCAAUAAAAUGACAAUGUAUUUUUUUAAAUGAC